GACGAACGUUGGCGGCGUGCUUAACACAUGCAAGUCGAACGGAAAGGCCCUGCUUUUGUGGGGUGCUCGAGUGGCGAACGGGUGAGUAACACGUGAGUAACCUGCCCUUGACUUUGGGAUAACUUCAGGAAACUGGGGCUAAUACCGGAUAGGAGCUCCUGCUGCAUGGUGGGGGUUGGAAAGUUUCGGCGGUUGGGGAUGGACUCGCGGCUUAUCAGCUUGUUGGUGGGGUAGUGGCUUACCAAGGCUUUGACGGGUAGCCGGCCUGAGAGGGUGACCGGCCACAUUGGGACUGAGAUACGGCCCAGACUCCUACGGGAGGCAGCAGUGGGGAAUAUUGCACAAUGGGCGGAAGCCUGAUGCAGCAACGCCGCGUGCGGGAUGACGGCCUUCGGGUUGUAAACCGCUUUCGCCUGUGACGAAGCGUGAGUGACGGUAAUGGGUAAAGAAGCACCGGCUAACUACGUGCCAGCAGCCGCGGUGAUACGUAGGGUGCGAGCGUUGUCCGGAUUUAUUGGGCGUAAAGGGCUCGUAGGUGGUUGAUCGCGUCGGAAGUGUAAUCUUGGGGCUUAACCCUGAGCGUGCUUUCGAUACGGGUUGACUUGAGGAAGGUAGGGGAGAAAUGGAAUUCCUGGUGGAGCGGUGGAAUGCGCAGAUAUCAGGGGGGAACCCCAGUGGCGAAGGCGGUUCUCUGGGCCUUUCCUGACGCUGAGGAGCGAAAGCGUGGGGAGCGAACAGGCUUAGAUACCCUGGUAGUCCACGCUGUAAACGGUGGGUACUAGGUGUGGGGUCCAUUCCACGGGUUCCGCGCCGUAGCUAACGCUUUAAGUACCCCGCCUGGGGAGUACGGCCGCAAGGCUAAAACUCAAAGGAAUUGACGGGGCCCCGCACAAGCGGCGGAGCAUGCGGAUUAAUUCGAUGCAACGCGUAGAACCUUACCUGGGUUUGACAUGGAUCGGGAGUGCUCAGAGAUGGGUGUGCCUCUUUUGGGGUCGGUUCACAGGUGGUGCAUGGCUGUCGUCAGCUCGUGUCGUGAGAUGUUGGGUUAAGUCCCGCAACGAGCGCAACCCUUGUUCACUGUUGCCAGCACGUUAUGGUGGGGACUCAGUGGAGACCGCCGGGGUCAACUCGGAGGAAGGUGGGGAUGACGUCAAGUCAUCAUGCCCCUUAUGUCCAGGGCUUCACGCAUGCUACAAUGGCUGGUACAGAGAGUGGCGAGCCUGUGAGGGUGAGCGAAUCUCGGAAAGCCGGUCUCAGUUCGGAUUGGGGUCUGCAACUCGACCUCAUGAAGUCGGAGUCGCUAGUAAUCGCAGAUCAGCAACGCUGCGGUGAAUACGUUCCCGGGGCU
rnacentral:rRNA from 1 species